rnacentral:misc_RNA from 1 species
GCUGAACUUGAAACUUUGAAUGAUGUCAUUGGUUUUCUGAUAUGUGAAAAGCAUUCAAGACUUCUUGAAAGGCCUCCUGAUCUGGCUUGCAAACGUGGAAGUAUUCUCCAGAAGUCGCCUGCUACAGAUACAUUGACAAUUAUCACCGACAAUGAUUGGAAGUUGUUUUGUGAAGACUGGGGUGGUACGGAGGCAAAAGGAAUUACAGCUGAAAUUGAUUGCUUGGGGAAUGAUUUCCUUGGAUUUAGUGAAGAUAUGGAAAUUUUUGAGGAGCAUAUGAAUUUGAAUGACGAGACGAUUGUUGGACCUGAGUCUAGAAAAUUCAUCAUUAAGAUUUCACCAGAGGUUUGUGAGGAGUGCAUUGCUGAAAGGAAAAGCUGUGAAU